CGCUCUGUUGACCUCAGUAGUUAGAGUGCCUGCCUCAGAUGUUGGAGGUCGUUGGUUCGAUUACCGGCCUGGCCAA